UUAUAAUCCUCCCAGCCACUUCAGAAAGGUCUUCCACUGGGAUUCUGUUCUGUCUGCCUUACAAGUAACUCAACAAAGCUGCAACUCCUUGAAAAACUCCUAGAAAGACGAGCCUAUACUCAUUUGAAUCUUCAUCUUGUUCUUAUGGGUGUUCACAUGAAAAAGAAAAUACUUAGAGAGGAACGCAGAUUAAGGUAAACACCAUUACUUUUCUUGGGAGUACAUAAUUCAACCUACCACAGUAAGG